rnacentral:rRNA from 1 species
UACGUAGGGGGGCAAGCGUUGUCCGGAUUUAUUGGGCGUAAAGAGCUCGUAGGCGGUUGGGCAAGUCACGUGUGAAAUCUCCACGCUCAACGUGGAGGCGCCACGUGAGACUGCCCUGACUCGAGUCCGGUAGGGGAGCGUGGAAUUCCCGGUGUAGCGGUGAAAUGCGUAGAGAUCGGAAAGAACACCAACGGCGAAAGCACUCUGCUGGGCCGACACUGACACUGAGAGACGAAAGCUAGGGGAGCGAAUGGG